rnacentral:rRNA from 1 species
UACGAAGGGGGCUAGCGUUGCUCGGAAUUACUGGGCGUAAAGGGCGCGUAGGCGGGUCGUUUAGUUAGAGGUGAAAGCCCAGGGCUCAACCCUGGAAUUGCCUUUAAUACUGGCGGCCUUGAGUAUGGCAGAGGUGUGUGGAACUCCGAGUGUAGAGGUGAAAUUCGUAGAUAUUCGGAAGAACACCAGUGGCGAAGGCGACUCACUGGACACGUAUUGACGCUGAGGUGCGAAAGCGUGGGGAGCAAACAGG